AACGAACGCUGGCGGCGUGGCUAAGACAUGCAAGUCAAACGGACCAUUAAUUUAUUAGUGGUUAGUGGCGUAAGGGUUAGUAAUGGAUAGGUAACGUACCCUCGGCUCCGGAAUAGCGUCGGUUGCUUCGGCAACCUUCCGAAAGGGGCGGUAAUACCGGGUAACACCAUAUACCGUAUGGUAUAUGGUCAAAGAUUUAUCGGCAGAGGAGCGGCCUAUCUCCUAUCAGCUUGUUGGUGAGGUAAUGGCUCACCAAGGCUAUGACGGGUAGCGGGACUGAGAGGUCGAUCCGCAACAUCGGGACUGAGAUACUGCCCGGACCUCUACGGAGGGCUGCAGUAACGAAUAUUGUGCAAUGGGCGAAAGCCUGACACAGCGACGCCGCGUGUAGGAUGAAGUCUCUCGGGAUGUAAACUACUGUCAGGGGUUAGAAAGUACGCUCCGGCGUAUUGAUCAGCCCCAAAGGAAGUCACGGCUAACUUCGUGCCAGCAGCCGCGGUAAGACGAAGGUGGCGAGCGUUGUUCGGUGUCACUGGGCUUAAAGAGUGUGUAGGCGGAAGGGUAAGCGUCUUGUGAAAUACCUCGGCUCAACCGGGGAAUUGCUUGACGAACUACUCUUCUUGAGGCAAGUAGGGGUGCAUGGAACUCUUGGUGGAGCGGUGGAAUGCGUAGAUAUCAAGAGGAAUGCCGGUGGUGAAAACGGUGCACUGGGCUUGUCCUGACGCUGAGACACGAAAGCGUGGGGAGCGAACGGGAUUAGAUACCCCGGUAGUCCACGCCGUAAACGAUGUCUACUAGGUUGUGGAAGUUCUGACACUUGCACUGCCGAAGCAAAAGUGCUAAGUAGACCGCCUGGGGAGUACGGCCGCAAGGCUA
rnacentral:rRNA from 1 species